rnacentral:lncRNA from 1 species
AAUAUUAAUACACAAAUUAGAUUGGAAACACCGAAAGCAAAUUGAAGCUACCUAAGCACAACAAAUUAAUCCGACAAAUUAUUAUUGAAUAUUAAAUACGAUAGAAAAAUUAAUAAACACAAAUAAAAUAAUAUAGGAGAGAACACAUUAAAUUUAUAAGGCUCAACAAAUUUCCUAUAUCUUCAAGCACACCGACGCCGAAUGAUAAUUUCACUAAUACCAAAAAAAUUACAAACUAAUGGAACCCUUCAUUAAAAGGAUUACCCAAAUGUAUACUAAAAUAUACCAAAAAAUGGGAGAACAAUU